GCUGUCUGACUUGAAACAAAAGAAGAGAAAACUAACUUAAUCCAACGACCGGUGGGAGGGACGAGGGAGUAGGAGAAGAAAUCCGGAAGAAGCACCUAACCGCAAAGAAAGGAAAAAUGUCUGCUACAGCUUCUUUGUGCUCGACGACUCUUCAAUCCCAAAUCAGUGGCUUUGGCGGCGGCCUUAAGCUUCGAAGAUCAUACCUCUCUCCUCCCAAUUCGCUCACCUCGACAAGGAGGAAGUUUCAAACAACAGUGAAGGCAACUGCACGUGUUGACAAGUUCUCAAAAAGUGAUAUCAUUGUUGCUCCAUCUAUUCUCUCUGCCAAUUUUGCUACGUUGGGUGAACAGGUAAAAGCAGUGGAGUUGGCGGGGUGUGAUUGGAUUCAUGUUGAUGUAAUGGACGGACGCUUUGUUCCAAAUAUCACAAUUGGACCCCUUGUAGUUGAUGCGUUGAGGCCAGUGACAGAUCUUCCACUGGAUGUACAUUUGAUGAUUGUUGAACCGGAGCAGCGGGUACCAGAUUUUAUCAAGGCUGGGGCUGACAUUGUCAGUGUUCACUGUGAACAAUCUUCCACUAUCCAUUUGCAUCGAACACUUAAUCAAGUUAAGAGUCUAGGAGCUAAAGCUGGAGUGGUUCUAAAUCCAGCUACCCCAUUAUCUACUAUAGAAUAUGUUCUUGAUGUGGUUGAUCUAGUAUUGAUUAUGUCAGUAAACCCUGGAUUUGGUGGGCAGAGUUUUAUUGAAAGCCAAGUUAAGAAAAUCUCUGAAUUGAGAAGAAUGUGCGCCGAGAAGGGUGUGAAUCCAUGGAUUGAAGUUGAUGGUGGAGUUGGUCCAGCAAAUGCAUAUAAGGUUAUUGAAGCUGGAGCGAAUGCAUUGGUUGCUGGUUCUGCUGUCUUUGGAGCUAAAGAUUAUGCUGAAGCUAUAAGAGGGAUCAAGACCAGCAAAAGGCCCCUAGCAGUUGCGGCAUGAAGUAUUUAUUGUUCCAAAGAUUGGGUCCUAUACAAAGUUAGUUCCACAUUCUUCACUUCCAUAUAUUAUUUCACAGAAGGCUGAACUAAGCAGAACUCUACUAGCUGAUAUCAGCAAUCUUUUUCCAUUAUAUUUCUGUGAUCUUCUCAAAAAACAACAAAGAAUCCAGCUUGGUAUUUGGUUAGGGUAGCAUAUCUUGUAUAGGAAAUUAAUUGAAGUAAAUUGUGAUUGCUUUUCUGUUUAAGAAGUCAUUUGUCUAAUUUUAUGUUUAA